rnacentral:lncRNA from 1 species
UGAUUCAAAUUGGGGUGCUUGUCCCAACAUAAUGAGAUCCACUAUUGGUUUUUGUUUCUUUUUUAAGAAAUUGUUUGAUCAGUUGAAAAAGUAAGAAAUAGACAGUGGCAUCUAGAUCUUCCUUCAGAAGCUGAGUACACAACUCUUGCUCAAGCACAUGUGAAGGUUAAUGGCUACUAUAGUUGUUACAGGAUUUUUAGAUAUCUCAUUCUUCAGUCAUCAAUAUCUACUGUGAUAACAAGUCAGCAAUGCAUAUAGCCUGCAAAUCCAGUAUUCCAUAAAAACACAAAACAUAUUAAAAUGGAUCAUCAUGUUGUAAGGACAAGGUUCAAGCUGACAUAGUUCACCUAUUACCUAUUUUCUCAAAAAGAACAAGUAACAUAUAUUCUCACGAAACUUCUUCUUUCAUUCAGGACCAUUUAAUGCAUUACAAAAAAAAGAUUUGAGUGCUCAACAUAUAUUCCAGCUUGAGGGGAUGUUAGAGUAACUACAAUAAUAAACAAUUACUUGCAUAACAAGUAACUAGUUAUGUCAUAACUCUUGUAAUUGUCUUAACAACAAGUUUGUAAUAUCUGAUACUUGUAGGAACUAUAAAAAUAAACAAUUACUUACAUAACAAGUAACUAGUUAUCUCAUAACUCUUGUAAUUGUCUUAACAACAAGUUUGUUAUAACUGAU